rnacentral:rRNA from 1 species
GAUGAACGCUAGCUACAGGCUUAACACAUGCAAGUCGCGGGGCAGCAUGGGGGUUGCUUGCAAUCCCCGAUGGCGACCGGCGCACGGGUGAGUAACGCGUAUCCAACCUGCCCUUCACCACGGGAUAACCCGGCGAAAGUCGGACUAAUACCGUAUGUUGUCCAUUGACGGCAUCCGGUUUGGACGCAGGGGUUGGCGGUGGAGGAUGGGGAUGCGUCCGAUUAGCUGGGCGGCGGGGUGACGGCCCACCGUGGCGACGAUCGGUAGGGGUUCUGAGAGGAAGGUCCCCCACACUGGAACUGAGACACGGUCCAGACUCCUACGGGAGGCAGCAGUGAGGAAUAUUGGUCAAUGGGCGUAAGCCUGAACCAGCCAAGUAGCGUGCAGGAUGACGGCCCUAUGGGUUGUAAACUGCUUUUAUGCGGGGAUAAAGUGGCCCACGUGUGGGUUUUUGCAGGUACCGCAUGAAUAAGGACCGGCUAAUUCCGUG